UCCUCGAUGGUCCAUCGGCUAGGAUUCCACGCUUUCACUUAAUUUAGAAGUUCCGUGGCGGGCCGGGUUCGAUUCCCGGUCGGGGAA